UUCACGGAGAGUUUGAUCCUGGCUCAGGACGAACGCUGGCGGCGUGCUUAACACAUGCAAGUGGAGCGACGAACCAGGCUUCGGCCUGGGGCAAAGCCGCGAACGGGUGAGUAACACGUGGGUAACCUGCCCCGAUGACCGGGACAACCCGAGGAAACUCGGGCUAAUACCGGAUGUGCUCUCGAGCCUCCAGGCUCGUUAGGAAAGGUAGCUUCGGCCUCCGCAUCGGGAUGGGCCCGCGGCCCAUUAGCUUGUUGGUGGGGUAACGGCCCACCAAGGCCGCGAUGGGUAGCUGGUCUGAGAGGACGAUCAGCCACACUGGGACUGAGACACGGCCCAGACUCCUACGGGAGGCAGCAGUGGGGAAUCUUGCGCAAUGCGCGAAAGCGUGACGCAGCAACGCCGCGUGGGGGAAGAAGGCCUUCGGGUUGUAAACCUCUU
rnacentral:rRNA from 1 species